rnacentral:rRNA from 1 species
GGGGAAUCUUGCACAAUGGGGGAAACCCUGAUGCAGCGACGCCGCGUGAGUGAUGAAGCCCUUCGGGGUGUAAAGCUCUUUCGACAGGAACGAUAAUGACGGUACCUGAAGAAGAAGCUGCGGCUAACUACGUGCCAGCAGCCGCGGUAAUACGUAGGCAGCAAGCGUUGUUCGGAAUUACUGGGCGUAAAGAGUGCGUAGGUGGUUGGCUAAGUUUGGUGUGAAAUCUCCCGGCUCAACUGGGAGGGUGCGCCGAAAACUGGCUAGCUAGAGUGUGGGAGAGGGACGUGGAAUUCCUGGUGUAGCGGUGAAAUGCGUAGAUAUCAGGAGGAACACCUGCGGUGUAGACGGCGUCCUGGACCAUUACUGACACUGAGGCACGAAAGCGUGGGGAGCAAAC